UGGGAAGUAGGGUAGUGGCGAUCCCGCGUGUUUUGGGAACACGAGAUCGUGGGUUCGAGUCCCACCUUCCCAA
rnacentral:tRNA from 1 species